AAAGAACCCACUGCAGGGCGCCCAGCCACCUGCCCAGUGAAAAGACUGUAAUCAGACAACUUUAAUAAAGGGAGAGCAGGAGAGUGGCGACGAAUUUCCACAUUCCGAACAAGCUUGUCGAAAGGGGAGUGUAGGGAAGGAGCAAGAAUGAGGCACUGGAAGACGGCUGUAGGCGCAUGAUGUUACAAGUUAUUGGAAGAAAUCCCUCCAACCUAGGUUGGGACAGAUGAAGGCGGCGCUUAUUGGUGUCCACCAAAACACCAGCAUGGUGUACCAGCUUUGGCUAGAUUAUGCUCGGGAAAACACAGAUCCUGGUGCCGAACAUGAGGACAAGACAGGCCGAAGGAGAAAGUGGAAGGAGGGGAUCUUCUCUCUCAGCCUCAUCCUCCUGGGCCUGGAUGCUGGAGAGUCAUGAGGUGCUUCAGAGUACUCUGGGUGAGGAGGGAAAGAUGGUGCCCACCACAUGGAGGCCAGCCUAGGUCUUGUAUGAAACCCGUGAGGAGAUUCUCUCUCCCUUGCUGGCUUUGAAAAAGCAAGUUGCCAUGUGAAGAGGGCCAUAUAGCACAGGAGCUGAAGGCGGCCUCCAACUGACAGCAAGAAAAUGCGGUCCUCAAUCUGACAACUUGCAAGAAACUGAAUGCUCUAAAAGCCACAUGAGCUUGAGAGCGGAUCUGACCCCAGCCAAAUCUCUGAAGUCCACAGGCAGGAAAUGAAGAUCAGAAAAAGGCUAUUGUCUCAUGAAUAUAAGCCAGACUCCACAGAAGCUGGAGUCCUUCAUUAUGGAGCUAAACACAUACACCUGGCU
rnacentral:antisense_RNA from 1 species